rnacentral:rRNA from 1 species
GACGAACGCUGGCGGCGUGCUUAACACAUGCAAGUCGAACGGAAAGGCCCUGCUUUUGUGGGGUGCUCGAGUGGCGAACGGGUGAUUAACACGUGAGUAACCUGCCCUUGACUUUGGGAUAACUUCAGGAAACUGGGGCUAAUACCGGAUAGGAGCUCCUGCUGCAUGGUGGGGGUUGGAAAGUUUCGGCGGUUGGGGAUGGACUCGCGGCUUAUCAGCUUGUUGGUGGGGUAGUGGCUUACCAAGGCUUUGACGGGUAGCCGGCCUGCGAGGGUGACCGGACAAAUUGGGACGGAGAUACGGCCCAGACUACUACGGGAGGCAGCAGUGGGGAAUAGUGCACAAGGGGCGGAAGCCUGAUGCAGCAACGCCGCGUGGGGGAUGACGGCCUUCGGGUUGUAAACCGCUUUCGCCUGUGACGAAGCGUGAGUGACGGUAAUGGGUAAAGAAGCACCGGCUAACUACGUG